rnacentral:lncRNA from 1 species
GCUAUUUAUAAACUCACCGUCAACGUCGAACGGCAACAGCACCGUUAACGUCAAAAGAUGGUCUUAUGGGAAACUCAUGCUUCCAUUUAUAAACUUCGUUCGCCGUUGACGUUGACGGUAGGAAGAUUCAUCUUUUUUGGCCGUUAACGGCACGAUCACAGGACAUGAACAAUAAGCUGUAGCGUAGCAUCAUAAAAAAUAAAAACUGACAAGGUUUGUCAAAACAAACUAAAUAAUUAUUUGUUGUUUGUAAAUACAGAAAACAUUCUCAAGUUUUAAAAUACCUCUAAUAUUUAAUAUGGUAUUGGAGUACAGUCAAUUAUAUUUAUGGUAAUGCGAAUAUAGAGAUAUCUACUGAAAACAUUAGGGCAUAGAUCUUAUGCAAAAUUGCGAGUUCCUUUAUAGUCUAUAGCAUAAAGUCCAUAAAGAUUACAAAAAAGCGCAAGGAAACAAAGAUGCACCAUGAGAUGAAAUUACCAAAAGAAACAGUUAGUGGUAGUAAGAAUACAAAAAACGUUUUGGUAAAAUUUCAAUUUAUUCAUUGAUUUUAGUGGAUGUGAUCCUGAUCGUUUUAGAAAAGGAAAAAAUAAGUUUCAUGCUAGAAUUGAGGCAUCAGAAAGUAACUUACCCUCCUGCAAUCAACAGACACUUUUUUACUGAGCACCCUGGAUAUAAGGACCUUUUUACAACAUUCUUCCAAGUUUAGUGUCAGUCUAUAUAUUUGUGGUUUAUUAAUUCUUAUAAUUGUUUUAUAAGGGACAUUUAAGGCUACAAAGAUAAUUUAAAAAAUGAAGAAGGCAACAGAACAUCUUCCACUGUCUCUUAUGCACCUAUUGAAAUUAUAUUUGAGGAUGAACCUAUAUAUCAGACACAUCACAAGAUGUGCACACAUUUAUCUCCAGGAAAACCUAGUCUGUUAGUCAUUUUCUUUUAUGUUCAGUACUUAAAAGUGAGUUUUCAUUUCUUACAGUAUCAAUUAGGGCAUUACACUCAAAUUUAAUCACUGCUUCAUAAAAAAUGGUAAGUAGUCUUGUUUCUCAAACACUAUCUUAAAUAAUACAUUUUCUCAAUAUGUUCGUGCAUGCUUGAAGGCAUUGAAUCCUGAAGGUGCUGCUGAGAGAGCGUUCAAGUAUUAUGUAACGUGAUUUUAGACCCACCCUAUGUAAAGCACUGUAAUGGGUGUUUAACUAUUACGUAACCCAAUUUUUGACCUCCCGCAUAAUACUUGAUACGUAAUACUUGAACGGCCCUUGAGGCAAGGAAGCAGAUAUGUUCGCGUUUUUUCUUACAUUGUUAUUAAUUUAGUUUGUUGUUUUAAUGUUUUAUAGAUUACUUAGUUUGUUUAUUAAUAAUAAAUAAAACAAUUCAUUGUA